rnacentral:rRNA from 1 species
UACGUAGGGUGCAAGCGUUGUCCGGAAUUAUUGGGCGUAAAGAGCUCGUAGGCGGUUUGUUGCGUCGGCUGUGAAAUCCCCGAGGCUCAACCUCGGGUCUGCAGUCGAUACGAGCAAACUAGAGUGUUGCAGGGGAGACUGGAAUUCCUGGUGUAGCGGUGAAAUGCGCAGAUAUCAGGAGGAACACCAGUGGCGAAGGCGACUCACUGGGACACGUAUUGACGCUUGAGGUGCGAAAGCGUGGGGAGCAAACAGG